rnacentral:rRNA from 1 species
UACGUAGGGUGCGAGCGUUAAUCGGAAUUACUGGGCGUAAAGCGUGCGCAGGCGGUUUUGUAAGCCAGAUGUGAAAGCCCCGGGCUCAACCUGGGAAUGGCAUUUGGGACUGCAAGGCUUGAGUGCGGCAGAGGAGACUGGAAUUCCUGGUGUAGCGUGAAAUGCGUAGAUAUCAGGAGAACACCAGUGGCGAAGGCGCUCUCUGG